rnacentral:rRNA from 1 species
UACGGAGGGUGCGAGCGUUGUCCGGAAUCAUUGGGCGUAAAGGGCGCGUAGGCGGCUUCUCAAGCGUGCGGUGAAAGUCAGGGCUCAACCCCUGAUCGGCCGUGCGAACUGGGGGCUGGAGCACUGUAGAGGCAGGCGGAAUUCCGGGUGUAGCGGUGGAAUGCGUAGAGAUCCGGAAGAACACCGGUGGCGAAGGCGGCCUGCUGGGCAGUGGCUGACGCUGAGGCGCGACAGCGUGGGGAGCAACAGGA